rnacentral:rRNA from 1 species
UACACUCCUACGGGAGGCAGCAGUGGGGAAUUUUGGACAAUGGGCGAAAGCCUGAUCCAGCAAUGCCGCGUGUGUGAAGAAGGCCUUCGGGUUGUAAAGCACUUUUGUCCGGAAAGAAAUCCUUGGCUCUAAUACAGUCGGGGGAUGACGGUACCGGAAGAAUAAGCACCGGCUAACUACGUGCCAGCAGCCGCGGUAAUACGUAGGGUGCGAGCGUUAAUCGGAAUUACUGGGCGUAAAGCGUGCGCAGGCGGUUUGCUAAGACCGAUGUGAAAUCCCCGGGCUCAACCUGGGAACUGCAUUGGUGACUGGCAGGCUAGAGUAUGGCAGAGGGGGGUAGAAUUCCACGUGUAGCAGUGAAAUGCGUAGAGAUGUGGAGGAAUACCGAUGGCGAAGGCAGCCCCCUGGGCCAAUACUGACGCUCAUGCACGAAAGCGUGGGGAGCAAACAGGAUUAGAUACCCUAGUAGUCCCA